AUUGAACGCUGGCGGCAGGCCUAACACAUGCAAGUCGAACGAGUGGCGGACGGGUGAGUAAUGUCUGGUAAACUUCCCGUUCGAGGGGGAUAACUACUGGAAACGGUAGCUAAUACCGCAUACCCUCGUUUGUGCCCAGAUGGGAUUAGCUAGUGGGUGGGGUAAUGGCUCACCUAGGCGACGAUCCCUCGCUGGUCUGAGAGGAUGACGAGCCACACGGGAACGGAGAAACGGUCCAGACUCCUACGGGAGGCAGCAGUGGGGAAUAUUGGACAAGGGGCGAAAGCCUGAUACAGAAAGGCCGCGUGUAUGAAGAAGGCCUUCGGGUUGUAAAGUACUUUCAGCGAGGAGACGUUACUCGCAGAAGAAGCACCGGCUAACUCCGUGCCAGCAGCCGCGGUAAUUC
rnacentral:rRNA from 1 species